CAGCAGCCGCGGGAAAACGAAGGGGGCUAGCGUUGCUCGGAAUGACUGGGCGUAAAGGGCGCGUAGGCGGUUUAUACAGUCAGAUGUGAAAUUCCUGGGCUCAACCUGGGGACUGCAUUUGAUACGUAUGGACUUGAGUGGAGAAGAGGGUCGUGGAAUUUCCAGUGCAGAGGUGAAAUUCGUAGAUAUUGGAAAGAACACCGGUGGCGAAGGCGGCGACCUGGUCUUUAACUGACGCUGAGGCGCGAAAGCGUGGGGAGCAAACAGGAUUAGAUACCCGAGUAGUCCCUGUCUCUUAUAC
rnacentral:rRNA from 1 species